rnacentral:rRNA from 1 species
GGCGAACGGGUGAGUAACACGUGAGGAACCUGCCCCGAAGACCGGGACAACAUCGGGAAACCGUUGCUAAUACCGGAUGCCCUCGAAGAAUCGCAUGGUUCAUCGAGGAAAUGGAUUCCGCUUCGGGAUGGCCUCGCGGCCUAUCAGCUUGUUGGUGAGGUAACGGCUCACCAAGGCUUCGACGGGUAGCUGGUCUGAGAGGAUGUCCAGCCACACUGGGACUGAGACACGGCCCAGACUCCUACGGGAGGCAGCAGUUAGGAAUCUUGCGCAAUGGACGAAAGUCUGACGCAGCGACGCCGCGUGCGGGAUGAAGGCCCUCGGGUUGUAAACCGCUUUCAGCAGGGACGAAAUUGACGGUACCUGCAGAAGAAGCCCCGGCCAACUACGUGCCAGCCGCCGCGG